rnacentral:rRNA from 1 species
CAGUCGUACCUGCGGACAAUCAGCUUUUGAGUGUGAUUAUGUGGAUUGUGAGGAGUUUAAUCACCCUCAUGUUUACGUAUUCGUGCUCUUGGGUGUCCUUGCCCGUGUGGUAGGUUAACAUC